ACAAGCGGUGGAGUAUGUGGUUUAAUUCGAAGCAACGCGAAGAACCUUACCAGGUCUUGACAUCCCGAUGCUAUUUCUAGAGAUAGAAAGUUACUUCGGUACAUCGGUGACAGGUGGUGCAUGGUUGUCGUCAGCUCGUGUCGUGAGAUGUUGGGUUUAAGUCCCGCAACGAGCGCAACCCUCGCCUCUAGUUGCCAGCAUUCGGUUGGGCACUCUAGAGGGACUGCCGGCGACAAGUCGGAGGAAGUGGGGAUGACGUCAAAUCAUCAUGCCCCUUAUGACCUGGGCUACACACGUGCUACAAUGGGCGGUACAAAGGGCUGCGAACCCGCGAGGGGGAGCGAAUCCCAAAAAGCCGCUCUCAGUUCGGAUUGCAGGCUGCAACUCGCCUGCAUGAAGCCGGAAUCGCUAGUAAUCGCGGAUCAGCAUGCCGCGGUGAAUACGUUCCCGGGCCUU
rnacentral:rRNA from 1 species